rnacentral:rRNA from 1 species
ACUUUACAAUGCGGGAAACCGUGAUAAGGGAACUCCGAGUGUCCGUAAAUUCGGACUGUCCGUAUGUUUAAAAAGCAUACGAAGAAAGGGCCGGGCAAGACCGGUGCCAGCCGCCGCGGUAAUACCGGCGGCUCGAGUGGUGGCCACUAUUACUGGGCUUAAAGCGUUCGUAGCUGGGUUAUUAAGUCUCUUGGGAAAUCUACCGGCUUAACCGAUAGGCGUCCAAGGGAUACUGGUAAUCUAGGGACCGGGAGAGGUGAGGGGUACUUCAAGGGUAGGAGUGAAAUCCUGUAAUCCUUGGGGGACCACCUGUGGCGAAGGCGCCUCACCAGAACGGCUCCGACAGUGAGGGACGAAAGCUGGGGGAGCAAACCGG